rnacentral:rRNA from 1 species
AUGCUAAUUGUUGAUCUAGGGAUUGGUUGUCUUCUAAGAAUUGUAGAAAAAGACACGUCCUGUAUCGACCUUUCAUGCACAGGUGGAUCUCUAUUUUCUCUUCUCAUAACCCUAACUCAAUCAUCAACUCACUGCUGUGGAGGGGUUGGGGUUAUGGAGAAGGAAGGAGCUACUAUGAUUUGUGCCAUCUGCAUCGCUCCUCCCGUCCAACGCUCACGCCGCACGUUCCUCGCUGGUAGCAUGACCAAGACCUUGCCACGGUUGAUGACUUCAACAAGGACAAUUGUAAUCAUGAGCUAA